GCGCCCAUAGCUCAGUUGGAUAGAGCAACGGAUUUCUAAUCCGUCGGUCCCGUGUUCGAAUCGCGGUGGGCGUG
rnacentral:tRNA from 1 species